UACGGGGGGGCAAGCGUUGUUCGGAAUUACUGGGCGUAAAGGGCUCGUAGGCGGCCAACUAAGUCAUACGUGAAAUCCCUCGGCUUAACCGGGGAACUGCGUCUGAUACUGGAUGGCUUGAGUUCGGGAGAGGGAUGCGGAAUUCCAGGUGUAGCGGUGAAAUGCGUAGAUAUCUGGAGGAACACCGGUGGCGAAGGCGGCAUCCUGGACCGAUACUGACGCUGAGGAGCGAAAGCCAGGGAGCAAACGGG
rnacentral:rRNA from 1 species